CAAGAGGGCGCACACAGACAAGUAGGGCGAGGUAGUACAGUGCUUUCAUCAGACAUCAAGUAUUUCACAUUUUGCAGAUGGGUCAUGUCAUUGUUUCACCGGGCGCUUGGAGUAUCAGUCAGAUCUGCAGUUCUGCAUACUAUCACUGUUUUGUUGCUUUGGAUAGUGUUGGUGUUUUGUGGUCUUUCCACUACUCGCUGUCAGGUUACAAUGUUGCGACACUGUAUUUUAGUUGUGUAUUACAUAUCGAAGUAGCUGUA